rnacentral:rRNA from 1 species
UCGAGGAUCUUCGGCAAUGGGCGCAAGCCUGACCGAGCGACGCCGCGUGCGCGAAGAAGGCCUUCGGGUUGUAAAGCGCUGUCGAGGGGGAGGAAAGCCCGCAAGGGUCUGACCUAUCCCUGGAGGAAGCACGGGCUAAGUUCGUGCCAGCAGCCGCGGUAAGACGAACCGUGCGAACGUUGUUCGGAAUCACUGGGCUUAAAGGGCGCGUAGGCGGCUUCUCAAGUCCGGGGUGAAAGCUUUCGGCUCAACCGGAAAAGUGCCUUGGAUACUGGGAAGCUCGAGGGAGGUAGGGGCGGCCGGAACUUCCGGUGGAGCGGUGAAAUGCGUAGAUAUCGGAAGGAACGCCGGUGGCGAAAGCGGGCCGCUGGACCUCUACUGACGCUGAGGCGCGAAAGCCAGGGGAGCGAACGG